rnacentral:lncRNA from 1 species
CAGUGAGCAAAACGAGCCCUUAGAAGCUGCGGAACGAAAAAUCACCGAAGGAAGAGGAUGGAUGCAAAGACGAGAACUGAAAACAAAAGCUGAGAUUGGCGUGAUGUCUGCCCAGGGGCAUGUGCCUCUCCGCAGAGAGCUGAAGAGAAAUGGGGUAGAACCUGCUUUAUUUUUCUCCACAACCCUUACACCACCUGACAGAUUAUUUCUCAUUAUUACUAAAUUUGCUCUCACUGUUUGUCUCUCCUUCUCCCACUAGAAAUGAGGUCCAUGCAGUGGAGCCUUCCCUGGGUUUGGUUGUAAAUGUGGCCCUACCACCAAGAAGACUUUCCAGUUCAUAGAAAAGACUUGGUAUUUGCCAAAUGACCCUGAAAAAGCUCCCUUUUCUUCACAUGCAUCAGCAAGCAAAUGCACCACAGAAACGGCAUUCUCGUCGAGAGAUUCAGCUGACCCUAAAGCUUGCAUUGAGUUGCACUGCAGGAGUGCAAUCCGGAGACGCCAAGCAGGCAGCCUUCUAUGGAGGGACCUCGCCUGGCUUCAUGUGACUUUUCUGCUCUGGAAACACCUGUCGGAAUUCAAGGGUGAGGUAGCCACCAGCAGCUGUAAAAAAACUGAGGCUCACCAGGAAAAGCGACCCACCAAGGAGAGAGUCUCAGAACACGCUGGAAGAUAGACAGCCUUUCAGGAAACACUGGACACAGUCCCUGAUGGGCUCUGAUCCUGUGGUGAGGGUGUGGAAUCCAGCAUGAAAGCUUUUUACAGUGGGAACUCACUCUCCACGGGCGAAGCUAUGAUCUCCAUCACUUUCUCCUCACCCUCUGUGCGUGGCGGCAUAUGCUGCUCAGAAGACGCCCCUCCUGAUCUUGCUGGAAUGAAAUAACCCAACUCCUUUUGUCAUCAACCCAAAAUAAGAGAACAGCCGCAGGCAGUGGUCAUGUUCCUUCCAACUCCACCAGGAGGCCAGGUCCGCCAGGGGGUACUAGGAAAAUUCACAACACCAACAGUAAACAUAAUGUAACUUCCUGAUGGAAUUUCUUUUUGUGAUUCCCUUGUGUUUUAAAUUCUCCUGUUUGUAUUAAUUAUACUUGACCAACUUUCUAACAUAUAAAGUUUAUAUCAUGCUCAGAAAUAA